UCCUGUGAGAUAGAUCUAAUCAAGCGACCUCUAGGAACAGAGUCAGCUUUAACAAUAUGUCUGAAGAAUCUAACAGCCCGCUAUAUUUUUUCGGGUUUUAUUGUGUCUGGUUGCCCUAAUCGGUAUUCAGUGUAGUCGGUAUAGCCACCGAACUCCCAGUAAUUGCCGUCAGUACCGUCUAGUGUUGCUACAGCUGAUUCGAGCGAUUGGUUAGAUUAACUUUAGUGCACGUUACUGAACUACACGUGCGAGACAGUGCGCGGUUUUAAACUGUUCCCACAGAAAUGUGGCUGUCAUCCCACCCGCCCCCUGACACAGUGAAGAGUCAUUCUGCACAUCAACUUAGGCGAACGCUUGCCUCCCCCCCUCCUCGAGCAUAACCUUCAGUUCUUUUGUUAAGUCUAGUAACUGUCAAGCGGCCAGGUGGUGGGCCGUUAUUCACGCACGUGCCAAGUAGGGGCACGUCGAAGAUGGCACCCACUGGCACGUGUUUGCUCUUAUGAACUGUUUUUAAUGGUCAUCAUCUAUAGGCACUUUUUAUACAGGAGCAUCUCAUAAUUAUCUCGGUGAUUCGAAUUUUCUUUUCACACCUAAUUCCUUACAACGACGGACGCCCUCUGUUUGCAUGGGAAGUUUUGUAGCGAUCCAUUAGAUCAUUGGAGAAGGACCAACAAGUACUCUCUACGCUGUACUCGAGCGUAAUGGUACUCCAGGAAACCCAACAAAACUUGCUUGCCCUGAGAUCAUCAUCACUUCCCCAUGAAGUCACAGUAACAAGGGAACCUUUCCCUGUGGAAGAACUUGUCCCUGGGUUCUGUUCUUUC